CUGGCGCGUGGCCAACUGCUGGCGUUUUUUUCUGCCGUUGUUUGCUUGCGUGUGUUGUCAUUGGCUACGUCGUGUGUCGUCAUCGGUCAUGAACUUUGGGAGGAGCGCAGAGAGGCGGAGAAACGAAGGCGGAAAACAGAUUUAAACCAGCGUUUGGACCGACCCCUCGGUUUGUCCGCACUGUGAAAAAACUCGAUUACCGAAGAAGCCUGGAUACUGAAACAAGCUCUGGAGCUUUCGUCCAACCCUGUUUGUGAGGUGUGAGGCUGAACACACCUGCGGAGCGAAGGUGUCACCACUUCGUCCACCACGUUGUCCACGAUCGCCAAGACGUCGUCCAUGAUCAGAGAGACAUUGUUGAGGAUGAGGGAGACAUCGUCCACGAUCAGAGACAUUGUCCGUGAUCGCAGAGACUUUGUCAAAGAUGAGAGAGACGUUGUCCUUGAUCAGAGACAUUGUCCCCUGCUUCGUAGAGACCUUGCGAUAGAAUCGGCGGAGACGGGGGUCACCGAUUUGACGGCACUGCCCGCGAUCAGGGACAUUGUCGAUGGUCACAGAGUCACCGUCUAUGAUCUCAGAGACAUCGUCCACGAUCACAAAGACAUUGUCCAUGAUCACAGAGACUUUGUCCAUAAUCUCAGAGACAUUGUCCGCGAUCACAGAGACGUAGUCCACGAUCACAGAGUCUUUGUACAAUGAAGAAGUUCUUUGAGACCAGGACAGAGGCCUCCAGGUGUCACCACUUCGUCCACCACGUUGUCCACGAUCGCCAAGACGUCGUCCAUGAUCAGAGAGACAUUGUUGAGGAUGAGGGAGACAUCGUCCACGAUCAGAGACAUUGUCCGUGAUCGCAGAGACUUUGUCAAAGAUGAGAGAGACGUUGUCCUUGAUCAGAGACAUUGUCCCCUGCUUCGUAGAGACCUUGCGAUAGAAUCGGCGGAGACGGGGGUCACCGAUUUGACGGCAUUGCCCGCGAUCAGGGACAUUGUCGAUGGUCACAGAGUCACCGUCUAUGAUCUCAGAGACAUCGUCCACGAUCACAAAGACAUUGUCCAUGAUCACAGAGACUUUGUCCAUAAUCUCAGAGACAUUGUCCGCGAUCACAGAGACGUAGUCCACGAUCACAGAGUCUUUGUACAAUGAAGAAGUUCUUUGAGACCAGGACAGAGGCCUCCAGGUGUCACAAUUUCAUCCACCACGUAGUCCACUAUUGCAGACCGUCUUCAUACAAUGAAGUUCUCUGAGGCCAGGACAGAAGUCUCCAGGUAAUUCAUGAACAGUUUAACAUCAACUGUCCAACACAGAGCUA